rnacentral:tRNA from 1 species
UGGGUCUGUAGGCUAGUGGAUAGACUUCCGGGCUUCGGACCCGGGGACCGGGGUUCAAUUCCCCGCAGGCCCGUC